rnacentral:rRNA from 1 species
CCUAGGGAGGCAGCAGUGAGGAAUACUGGUCAAUGGCCGGAAGGCUGAACCAGCCAAGCCGCGUGAAGGACGAAGGUGCCAAGCAUUGUAAACUUCUUUUGUCAAGGGACAAAAUCAGGCUCGAGAGCCUGACCGAGGGUACUUGAAGAAAAAGCAUCGGCUAACUCCGUUCCAGCAGCCGCGGUAAUACGGGGGAUGCGAGCGUUAUCCGGAUUUAUUGGGUUUAAGGGGUGCGUAGGCGGGCUGUUAAGUCAGCGGUAAAAGCCCGGGGCUCAACCCCGGCGAGCCGUUGAGACUGGCUGUCUGGAGAUGUCGAGAGGUAGGCGGAAUGCGCAGUGUAGCGGUGAAAUGCUUAGAUAGUGCGCAGAACUCCGAUUGCGAAGGCAGCAUACCGGCGGCGAUCUGACGCUGAGGCACGAAAGCGUGGGUAUCGAACAGGAUUAGAUACCCUGGUAGUC